rnacentral:rRNA from 1 species
GAGUUUGAUCCUGGCUCAGGAUGAACGCUGGCGGCGUGCUUAACACAUGCAAGUCGAACGAAGCUGCUUAACUGAUCUUCUUCGGAAUUGACGUUUUGUAGACUGAGUGGCGGACGGGUGAGUAACGCGUGGGUAACCUGCCCUGUACAGGGGGAUAACAGUCAGAAAUGACUGCUAAUACCGCAUAAGACCACAGCACCGCAUGGUGCAGGGGUAAAAACUCCGGUGGUACAGGAUGGACCCGCGUCUGAUUAGCUGGUUGGUGAGGUAACGGCUCACCAAGGCGACGAUCAGUAGCCGGCUUGAGAGAGUGAACGGCCACAUUGGGACUGAGACACGGCCCAAACUCCUACGGGAGGCAGCAGUGGGGAAUAUUGCACAAUGGGGGAAACCCUGAUGCAGCGACGCCGCGUGAGUGAAGAAGUAUCUCGGUAUGUAAAGCUCUAUCAGCAGGGAAGAAAAUGACGGUACCUGACUAAGAAGCCCCGGCUAACUACGUGCCAGCCGCCGCGGUAAUAC